CCACAGAACACAAAUCUGAAGGUACAAUGAGAUGAGGCCUCUGCAGCUCCUUGGCUUGUGGUGGCUUCUUGGCUUGUGGUGACCUUUUUGGACCCAGACGGUCACCCUCUGUGCCUCGGUGUUCUCAUCUACAAAUGAUCCUAGGAACUCAGGUGAGGGUGAGGAGAGGCUUACUGCUUGUUGCCGUCUCCUGUGUGUUUGUGUUCACAGCUGAGGCCAAGGCUGCAGAAGCCGCUGCCAGCGCCUAUUACAACCCGGGCAACCCACACAAUGUCUACAUGCCCACGAGCCAGCCACCACCACCACCCUACUACCCUCCAGAAGACAAGAAGACCCAGUAGACCCUGCCCACCUCCUGCCUCUUACCUGAAGACCCCUUCCUGGGCCUCCCAUGGAGCUGCAUCUGGGAUUCCAGGAGGCCAGGGAAGGCCCUGUUCUUCCCCAGGCCUAAGUAUAAAGUUAGCAGGAGCUAGCCCUGAUAGAAAGGUGGAACUCCUGGCCUCUGAGAGGGUCCCAGCUUCCCACCCUAGCUCAGCUCUCAGCGCUGUUCUACCCAGCCUCCCUUUAACCAUCUCUGGAGCUCACAGGAGCACGGGGUAACCCCUUGUUCCUCAUGAUAGUGGACACACACACACACACACACACACACACACACACACAGAGGGACUCUCUGGCCACUCCUCUACUGCUGUCCAGCCCCUUGAGCCUGGUGACCAUUGUUCUUCAUCUCUUGGGCUCAGAAGACCAGCCUCGUCUCCCACAGGCCCUGCCCAGUCAUGUUCACAUUCCUUCCCCUUCCUUCCCCCCCCCCCCCCCCCGCGUGUGCCUGGCCCUGGAAGGCCGCUGUCCCAGCAGACAGUCACACUCACCCGGCCUCGCUUGUUCUUUCUGUUGCUUCCAGGGAUUUUACCUGGAGCUUCCAGUGGCUGGCAUCAGAAGCAAAGCCACUGUGGCAGAGAGGAAGCCCCUCUGCCCCUCCGCCCCCCUGCCCCUCCAUCCCUCCGCUGGUGUUUCUGGGGAUUAUUCACUCUCCUUUUCCCUUCACAAGGGCCUUCUCUGCAGGAGCGAUAGAGAAUGCAUGUCUGCCCCAUUGGGCCUUUUGGUCUGGGAUUCCUCCAACCACAUGACCUAUACCCCAAGCCCGCCUCUCCAUGCGCUUCGCCCCCUGGAUGCACUAAGAGUUGCUCUCGUUUGUUCCUGGUCUGGAUGCAAAACAAGGAGAUGGUUAUUUAAAGAGAAUUCCUAUUUAUUUGACACAAAAAGUCCAGUUAAUAUAUUAAUGUGAAAUAAACCCUGUUUGCACCUUGAUUUGUUUGCUACAACUGUGAAAUAGUAAAAAAAAUGAAGUGACUGGAUGCUC
rnacentral:lncRNA from 1 species